rnacentral:rRNA from 1 species
CGUAGGUGCGAGCGUUGUCCGGAAUUAUUGGGCGUAAAGAGCUCGUAGGCGGUCCGUCGCGUCGAUUGUGAAACCCGGGGCUCAACUCCGGGCUUGCACUCGAUACGGGCGGACUAGAGUUCGGUAGGGAGACUGGAAUUCCUGGUGUAGCGGUGAAAUGCGCAGAUAUCAGGAGGAACGCCGGUGGCGAAGGCGGGUCUCUGGGCCGAUACUGACGCUGAGGAGCGAAAGCGUGGGGAGCGAACAGGAUU